CCUGUCGAUGAUUGUUCAGCAGUUGUGAUUCCGGUGCUCUUGUAAGAGGGAGUGAUCACACCUCCAUCUACUCUGCCAUCUUGAACCAAUCUCCUCUUUGCUUGAAUGACGUGACCUAAAAGUGAUGACUGCAGGAAUAUAACCAAGAAAAGGGGAAAUAAAUCAGCUACAGAGAAGGCACUGGGCAAAACUUGUAAAGAGUUAUACAGUGUAUCUGAACUUUUACUAAAGUACACAGAACUGUAGUUUCUUCAUUGGGAACAGAAAACUGUUCGCACCAUUACCACAGACUGAUGAUAAUCAUUCACUCUAAGACAAAGAACAAGGUAUCAAUCAGCUUUCAUUCCUGUGUCUCCGGCUGCUUCUCUGUGAGGUGCUUUAAAAGACAUCUGUAUGAAAUAUGAAUAAUCUAAAAAUUGAAAAAAAAAUUUACCUGAUUUUAAAAAAUAAGAUCAACACUCCUAAGGCUUCAAAGAAGAAAGACCAGAUGACAGCUUGACCUGACCUGUGGAAGAAUUACUGAGUAGACACAUAAUCCUACUCAUAAAUAACAGCCAAUGUAACAGUGUUUUCAUUUUCUCCUUUUCUCUUUCUCUCUGAGGCUAAUUAGCAUUACACACAGUAUGUGCCUUGUUACAAAUGUCUUCUUUCAGCUUUGGAACUAUAGUAUCUUUUGAUUACCCAAAACUCUGAUCUAGUUUUUCAGUUAUGCAGAAGCCAAACACUCUUUGUAACACUUCAGACUAACUAAAAAAAAAAAAGCCAUUUUAAUAAAAUAGAAACAACUACCACAAGUGGAUACUACACGUGUACUAUCCUCACUUGGUGAAUCAUCAUCACUUUAAAGAUAAACUGUAAAAGAAAAGAAUACCUUUUUAUAUACUUACUGCUGAAAGGCUGCCAUUGUAUUCUCCAAAUUUUCUCCAGCACCUGUGAAAACAUUAAAUUGAAGCUAAUUUGAACAUUUUAUUUUUCCAGAAAUUCACCUAAAAAAGAUACAUCAAAUGAAUCAUGAUGUUUGUAUAUUAUGUAGACAUUACAAGUGUUUUAAAGAAUGUAGUGGUAUUUUGAAUUGCUUUUAGCUGCACCAAGAAGAAUCAAAGAUCAAAACACAGCCACAGCAACGCAGGAGGGUUACAAGAACCUAAACAUGCUUUUAAAGCUAUAAUAGAAAAGACAGAGGAGGACUUGCACAUAUACACAUCCUCAGAGUUAAAGUGUCUCUCCUCUGGGUCCCCAAGGUCUCUCACGCAUCUUUCUACUAAGGCAUUUAUCAUAUUUAUAGCAUAAAGUGUUUACCCAUCUCUUUUCUCCCUUUCCCAUUAAUUACUUAAGAGAAGUGACUGUUUUAAUCAUCUUGGCUGAGGGUAAAUAGUGUAGUAGUUGAGGGUGGGGGUCUGGAGUUAGGAUCUCUGCUCUCAAGUCUGUUUGAUACUUGUGUGACCUUGGGAAAAUUACCUCACCUUUCUAUGGCUGAGCUUCCCUAUCUAUAAGGAUGAGGAGGGACUUCCCUGGUGGUCCAGUGGCUAAGACUCCAUACUCCCAAUGCAGGGGGCCUGGGUUCAAUCCCUGGUCAGGGAAGUAGAUCCCACAUGCAUGUCACAACUAAGAGCUAACAUGAUGCAGCUAAGACCUGGAGCAGCCUAAAUAAAUAUUUUUUAAAAAAACAACAGAGAAGAAAAACCCAAACGAACUUUUUAGCCAACCAAAUAAUUAAUGGAAUGCACAGGAAAAAUACUUUGGAAAUACUUUUCUAAAUACUUGGAAAAACAGACAAUUUCUUUUUUUAAAAAAAUAAAUUUAUGUAUUCAUUUAUUUAUUUAUUUUUGGCAGUGUCGGGUCUUCGUUUCUGUACCCAGGCUUUCUCCAGUUGCGGUGAGCGGGGGCUACUCUUCAUCGCAGUGCGCGGGCUUCUCAUUGUCGUGGCUUCUCUUGUUAUGGAGCACUGGCUCUAGAUGCGCAGGCUCAGUAGUUGUGGCUCACGGGCUUAGUUGCUCCACGGCAUGUGGGAUCCUCCCAGACCAGGGCUCGAACCCGUGUCCCCUGCAUUGGCAGGCAGACUCUCAGCCACUGCGCCACCAGGGAAGCCCAACAAUUUCUUCUUAACAAAAGAGGCAAUUCAAGUUUAAGGUGCUGUUCAAAUAAUAGAAUUAAAAUGUCUUACAUACAAUAACAUCUGAACAUAUUUGCAAGAGUAUUAGAGUUUUCUUCUUUUACAUUGUUAGAUUGUAUUUUUAUGGCAACCUAAUUAAUAAUCAAUAGAAACACAAGGUAUGAAGAAAUGAAUAUAUUAACCUAAUGUUCUAAAAGUUCCAUCAGUUUAGCAGACAGAAAGGGGUACCUAUGUGAAACAAGCUACUUUGGGGACUUUCCUGGUGGUCCAGUGGGUAAAACUCCGCACUCCCAAUGCAGAGGGCCCAGGUUUGAUCCCUGGUCAGGGAACUAGAUCUCACAUGCAUGCUACAACUAAGAGUCCACAUGCUGCAACUAUGAAGUCCACGUGCCACAACUAAGAAGUUUGUAUGCUGCAACUAAAGAUCCCAUGUGCCGCAACUAAGAGCCGGU